rnacentral:rRNA from 1 species
UGUAAGCGUAUACCAAAGUUGUUGCAGUUAAAACGCUCGUAGUCGGAAUUUGGCAGUUCCGGAAGUGUGCACGUCGUGUGCGCACUUUGCGGGGACUGCUUUUGUGGUCUUGCGUAGGAUGAGGCACUUUCAUUAGUGAACGUCCUCACGCAACCACUCUUUACUGUGAGAAAAUCAGAGUGCUCAAAGCAGGCAUUUGCCGUGAAUGUAUUAGCAUGGAAUAAUAGAAUAGGACUCGGUUCUAUUUUGUUGGUUUGUUGGGACUGAGUAAUGAUUAAGAGGGACAGUUGGGGGCAUUUGUAUUCCGGCGCUAGAGGCGAAAUUCUUAGAUUGCCGGAAGACAAACUGCUGCGAAAGCGUCUGCCAAGGAUGUUUUCAUUGA